rnacentral:rRNA from 1 species
UACAGAGGUCUCGAGCGUUGUUCGGAUUCAUUGGGCGUAAAGGGCGCGUAGGCGGCGGGGUAAGUCUGGUGCGAAAACUCGGGGCUCAACCCCGAGACGCCACUCGAUACUGCCGUGACUCGAGUCCGGUAGGGGAGUGUGGAAUUCCUGGUGUAGCGGUGAAAUGCGCAGAUAUCAGGAGGAACACCAGUGGCGAAGGCGGCACUCUGGGCCGGUACUGACGCUGAGGAGCGAAAGCGUGGGGAGCGAACAGG